rnacentral:rRNA from 1 species
UACGUAGGGUGCAAGCGUUGUCCGGAAUUAUUGGGCGUCAAGAGCUUGUAGGCGGUUUGUCGCGUCUGCUGUGAAAUUUCGGGGCUCAACCCCGAACUUGCAGUGGGUACGGGCAGACUAGAGUGUGGUAGGGGAGACUGGAAUUCCUGGUGUAGCGGUGAAAUGCGCAGAUAUCAGGAGGAACACCGAUGGCGAAGGCAGGUCUCUGGGCCAUAACUGACGCUGAGAAGCGAAAGCAUGGGGAGCGAACAGG